UACAGGGGGUGCAAACGUUGCUCGGAAUUAUUGGGCGUAAAGCGCGCGUAGGCGGCCACUUAAGUCGGAUGUGAAAGCCCCUGGCUCAACUGGGGAAGUGCACCCGAAACUGAAUGGCUUGAAUGCAAAAGAGGGUCGCGGAAUUCCCGGUGUAGAGGUGAAAUUCGUAGAUAUCGGGAGGAACACCGGUGGCGAAGGCGGCAUCCUGGACCAUAACUGACACUGAUAAGCGAAAGCCAGGGGAGCAAACGGG
rnacentral:rRNA from 1 species